rnacentral:rRNA from 1 species
AUUGAACGCUGGCGGCAGGCCUAACACAUGCAAGUCGAACGGUAACAGGAAGAAGCCUGCUUCUUUGCUGACGAGUGGCGGACGGGUGAGUAAUGUCUGGGAAACUGCCUGAUGGAGGGGGAUAACUACUGGAAACGGUAGCUAAUACCGCAUAACGUCGCAAGACCAAAGAGGGGGACCUUCGGGCCUCUUGCCAUCGGAUGUGCCCAGAUGGGAUUAGCUAGUAGGUGGGGUAACGGCUCACCUAGGCGACGAUCCCUAGCUGGUCUGAGAGGAUGACCAGCCACACUGGAACUGAGACACGGUCCAGACUCCUACGGGAGGCAGCAGUGGGGAAUAUUGCACAAUGGGCGCAAGCCUGAUGCAGCCAUGCCGCGUGUAUGAAGAAGGCCUUCGGGUUGUAAAGUACUUUCAGCGGGGAGGAAGGGAGUAAAGUUAAUACCUUUACUCAUUGACGUUACCCGCAGAAGAAGCACCGGCUAACUCCGUG